rnacentral:rRNA from 1 species
GGUCAAGCUACAAAGGGCGCAUGGUGAAUGCCUUGGCAUCAGGAGCCGAUGAAGGACGUGAUAAGCUGCGAUAAGCUUCGGGUAGGCGCACAUAGCCAGAGAUCCGGAGAUUUCCGAAUGGGGAAACCCGCAUGAGAAACCUCAUGCAUCGUAAAGUGAAUACAUAGCUUUAUGAAGGAACACCUAGGGAACUGAAACAUCUAAGUACCUAGAGGAAGAGAAAGAAAAAUCGAUUUUCUUAGUAGCGGCGAGCGAAAAGGAAAGAGCCCAAACCAGAGAUUUAUCUCUGGGGUUGCGGACAGAACAUAACGUGAAAUUAUGAUUAACCGAACACAACUGGAAAGUUGGACCGUAGGAGGUAAUAGUCCUGUAAGUAAAAGUCAUAAUGAUCAGUUCUGCACCAGAGUACCACGAGUCCCAAGGCUAAAUACUACCUGAUGACCGAUAGUGAAGCAGUACCGUGAGGGAAAGGUGAAAAGAACCCCGGGAGGGGAGUGAAAUAGAACCUGAAACCAUGUGCCUACAACCGAUCAAAGCACCUUAUGUGUGUGAUGAUGUGCUUUUUGUAGAACGAGCCAACGAGUUACGGUAUGUAGCGAGGUUAAGUACUUAAGGUACGGAGCCGAAGGGAAACCGAGUCUUAAUAGGGCGACUAGUUGCAUGCUGUAGACCCGAAACCGGGUGACCUAUCCAUGGCCAGGUUGAAGCGAGGGUAAAACCUCGUGGAGGACCGAACCACGUUGCUGUUGAAAAAGCAUGGGAUGAGCUGUGGAUAGCGGAGAAAUUCCAAUCGAACUCGGAUAUAGCUGGUUCUCCUCGAAAUAGCUUUAGGGCUAGCGUCGUGAAAUGUGAGUACUGGAGGUAGAGCACUGAAUAGGCUAGGGGGCAUAGCGCUUACCGAACCUUAUCAAACUCCGAAUGCCAGAUACUAUCAGCACGGCAGUCAGACUAUGAAAGAUAAGUUCCAUGGUCAAAAGGGAAACAGCCCAGAUCGUCAGCUAAGGUCCCAAAGUGUAAGUUAAGUGGAAAAGGAUGUGGGAUUUCUAAGACAACUAGGAUGUUGGCUUAGAAGCAGCCACUCAUUAAAAGAGUGCGUAAUAGCUCACUAGUCAAGAGAUCCUGCGCCGAAAAUGUCCGGGGCUCAAACUUACCACCGAAGCUACGGGUUCAUACUUUGUAUGAGCGGUAGAGGAGCGUCGUAAUCGGGCUGAAGUCGUACCGUAAGGAGCGGUGGACUGAUUACGAGUGAGAAUGUUGGCAUUAGUAGCGAGAUGUAGGUGAGAAUCCUACAGGCCGAAUAUCUAAGGUUUCCUGAGUAAAGUUUGUCUUCUCAGGGUUAGUCGGGACCUAAGGCGAGGCCGAGAGGCGUAGUCGAUGGACAAUUGGUUGAUAUUCCAAUACCACUAUAAUCGUUAUUAUCGAUGGUGUGACGGAGAAGGAUAGGAUGUGCCAGCUAUUGGAUGCUGGUCUAAGCGUUGAGGGAGUUAGAACAGGCAAAUCCGUUCUAACAAUCCUAGGGCGUGAUGGGGAAGGUUCUACGGAACCGAAGUAUCUGAUUUCAUGCUUCCAAGAAAAGCAUCUAGAAAGAGAAGUAGUGCCCGUACCGCAAACCGACACAGGUAGAUGAGGAGAGAAUCCUAAGGCCGACGGAAGAAUCACAGUUAAGGAACUAGGCAAAUUGACCCCGUAACUUCGGGAGAAGGGGUGCCUACCAUUUGGUAGGCCGCAGAGAAUAGGCACAAGCAACUGUUUAACAAAAACACAGGUCUCUGCUAAAGCGUAAGCUGAUGUUAAGCCCCAGUAAACGGCGGCCGUAACUAUAACGGUCCUAAGGUAGCGAAAUUCCUUGUCAGGUAAGUUCUGACCCGCACGAAUGGCGUAAUGACUUGUGCACUGUCUCAACUGUGAAUCCGGCGAAGUUGUAGUGCGAGUGAAGAUGCUCGCUACCCGCGAUUGGACGGAAAGACCCCGUAGAGCUUUACUGUAGCUUAGCAUUGAAUUUCGGUAUUGUCUGUACAGGAUAGGUGGGAGACUGGGAAAUUAGGGCGUCAGCCUUAAUGGAGUCGUUGUUGGGAUACCACCCUGAUAGUAUUGAAGUUCUAACUGGAUGCCAUGAAACUGGUGACAGGACAUUGUUAGGUGGGCAGUUUGACUGGGGCGGUCGCCUCCUAAAAUGUAACGGAGGCGCCCAAAGGUUCCCUCAGAACGGUCGGAAAUCGUUCGUAGAGUGUAAAGGCAUAAGGGAGCCUGACUGCGAGACCUACAAGUCGAGCAGGGACGAAAGUCGGGCUUAGUGAUCCGGUGGUACCUCGUGGGAGGGCCAUCGCUCAACGGAUAAAAGCUACCUCGGGGAUAACAGGC